UCGCCAGUGUUGUUGUGGCUGAAAGUGAGGAAUUGAGACCCUGAAGAAGAGGAAACAUCUGCUUGAAUUUGUAUAGAGGGAAAAGUUGCUGUUGAGAAUCGAACUGUAGGAGAUCCAAGCAGCCAAAAGCACUGCAGGAGAUUAAAGUAGUUCCGGAAACUGCGAAGGAAAUGACCCAAAGAACUGUCUCAAUAUCAGUCUUGCAACACUUCCCAUGAAUUGGAUACUAUGCAAUGAUAAAUUAUUGUCGCGGCAGUACGACAGCUUCAGUCUCAAGCAUUUCAAUCAGACCCAAGACCCUAAGUUAAACAAGAUACCAGGCCUUUUGCAAGGAGGAGCGAAUUCAUCAUCCUCACCCAUUGCCAACUUGACGCUGAAUCCUGGAAAACUAAAGCUGACCUGGGACAGCAGUGUCACUGAUACUGCAUACAGCUGUUCUAUGCGUGCAGACGAGAGGUACAGUGGGGGAAAGGUAAGUUUUCUAUUUACUUAUUAACAGAAACAAUAAACUGUAGUUUCUUUUCCUUUUAUAUACUCGAUUUAUUGAAGAAACAUAUGUAUCACUUGUAGUAUCAUAAAAGCCUAGGGUGCUCUGUGUACAGCUUUGGUGAGAUUAUUAUUGGAAUACUGUGUCCAGUUCUGGUGUCACCACUUCAAAAGGAUGCUGAAAAUUGAAGAAUUCAGGAUAGAGCUACAUGAAUGAUCUGAGGUCUGGGAAACCUGCUUUGCAGGAAAAGACUUAGAGUAUGUCUACACUACAAACUUAAGUCGACCUAUAUUAGGGUGAGUUAUAGCCACUAUAGUAAUUACAGUAAUUAUAGGGAGGAGGGAUAGCUCUGUGGUUUGAGUAUUGGCUUGCUAAACCUAAAGCUGUGAACUCAAUCCUUGAGGGGCCUACUUAGGGAACUGGGGUAAAAAUCUU